UGGACUCCACUCAAGAUGAGGUGCCCUGCUCAGCUCCUGGGGGUGCUGUUGUUCUGGAUCCCUGGAUCCAGUGGAGAUGUCAUAAUGACACAGACUCCACCCACACUGUCCAUCAGCCCAGAAGGGACGGCCUCCAUCUCCUGCAGGUCCAGUGAGAGCCUCGUGCAUAGCAAUGGAAACACAUAUCUAGAAUGGUACCUGCAGAAGCCAGGCCAGUCUCCACAACUCCUCAUCUAUAAGGUUUCCAACCGAUUUUCUGGUGUCCCAGACAGGUUCAGUGGCAGUGGGUCAGGCACAGAUUUCACACUGACCAUCAGCAGGGUGAAGCCUGAGGACAUUGGGGUUUAUUACUGCGGGCAAGGUACAAAAUACCCGCUCACGUUCGGUGGAGGGACCAAGUUGGAGAUCAAAAGGGAUGAUGCUAAGCCAACUGUCUCCAUCUUCCCACCAUCUGAAGAGCAGAUGAAGACUGGGAGUGCCUCCCUAGUAUGCUUUAUAAAUGACUUCUACCCCAGCGAUCUUAGCGUCGUGUGGAAAGUUGAUGGUACCCGCAAGACAGACGGCAUCACGAAUAGUAAGACGGAGCAGGACAAGAACCUCACCUACAGCCAAAGCAGCACCCUGACGAUGUCCAGUACAGAGUACGAGAGUCAUAAUGUCUAUACCUGUGAGGUCAGCCAUAAGACUCUGACCACCCCCAUUGCCAAGAGUUUCAACAAGAAUGAGUGUGAGAGCUAGAGGCUUGCCAGGCACCCACGCCUGCUCAAGCCAAGCCUCGACUUGCUGAAGGCCUCGGGUCCUUUCCCACAAGGGAUGUACCCCUGUUGCUAUCCCCCAACCCCUCUCUCCACCUCCUCCCUCGUUAGCUUUAAUCAUGAUGAUAUUGGCGGGGGGGGAAACAAUGAAUAAAGUGAAUCUUUGCACUUGA